rnacentral:rRNA from 1 species
AUUGAACGCUGGCGGCAGGCUUAACACAUGCAAGUCGGGCGAGCGGCGGACGGGUGAGUAAUGUCUGGGAAAUUGCCUGAUGGAGGGGGAUAACUACUGGAAACGGUAGCUAAUAAUGCAUACCAUCAGAUGUGCCCAGAUGGGAUUGGCUCGUAGGUGGGGUAAUGGCUCACCUAGGCGACGAUCCCUAGCUGGUCUGAGAGGAUGACCAGCCACACUGUAACGGGUACACGGUCCAGACUCCUACGGGAGGCAGCAGUGGGGAAUAUUGCACAAUGGGCGCAAGCCUGAUGCAGCCAUGCCGCGUGUGUGAAGAAGGCCUUCGGGUUGUAAAGCACUUUCAGCGAGGAGGCGUUACUCGCAGAAGAAGCACCGGCUAACUCCGUGCCAGCAGCCGCGGUAAUAC